AGCGAACGCUGGCGGCAGGCCUAACACAUGCAAGUCGAGCGCCCCGCAAGGGGAGCGGCAGACGGGAGAGUAACACGUGGGAACGUGCCCUUUGGUUCGGAACAACCCAGGGAAACUUGGGCUAAUACCGGAUAAGCCCUCACGGGGAAAGAUUUAUCGCCGAAGGAUCGGCCCGCGUCUGAUUAGCUAGUUGGUGGGGUAAUGGCCCACCAAGGCGACGAUCAGUAGCUGGUCUGAGAGGAUGAUCAGCCUCACUGGGACUGAGACACGGCCCAGACUCCUGCGGGAGGCAGCAGUGGGGAAUAUUGGACAAUGGGCGCAAGCCUGAUCCAGCCAUGCCGCGUGGGUGAUGAAGGCCCUAGGGUUGUAAAGCCCUUUCGGCGGGGAAGAUAAUGACGGUACCCGCAGAAGAAGCCCCGGCUAACUUCGUGCCAGCAGCCGCCGUAACAC
rnacentral:rRNA from 1 species